UAGGGAUACCCGCUGAACUUAAGCAUAUCAAUAAGCGGAGGAA
rnacentral:rRNA from 2 species